UUUCGCAAUGCCCGAAAGGGUGACGAAGCGACGCCGCGUGGGUGAGGAAGGCCUUCGGGUUGUAAAGCCCUGUCAGGAGUUAAGAAAUGUAGGUACGCUAAUAUCGUGCUUAUUUGACAAAGGCUCCAAAGGAAGCCACGGCUAACUCUGUGCCAGCAGCCGCGGUAAUACAGAGGUGGCAAGCGUUGUUCGGAAUUAUUGGGCGUAAAGAGCACGUAGGUGGGUUUGUAAGUCAGAUGUGAAAGCCUUCUGUUCAACGGAAGAAUUGCAUCUGAAACUGCGAGUCUUGAGUGUAGGAGGGGAGAAUGGAACUUCUGGUGGAGCGGUGAAAUGCGUAGAUAUCAGAAGGAACGCCGGCGGCGAAAGCGAUUCUCUGGCCUAUUACUGACACUCAGUGUGCGAAAGCUAGGGGAGCAAACGGGAUUAGAUACCCCGGUAGUCCUAGCCGUAAACGAUGGGCACUAAGUAGAGGGGUUUU
rnacentral:rRNA from 1 species